rnacentral:misc_RNA from 1 species
AAUUGGUGGAAAACCCUACCUGAUCCGAGGUCAAAGUUGACAAAAGGCUUAAUGGAUGCUAGACCUUUCCUGAUAGAGAGUGCGACUUGUGCUGCGCUCCGAAACCAGUAGGCCGGCUGCCAAUUACUUUAAGGCGAGUCUCCAGCAAAGCUAGAGACAAGACGCCCCACACCAAGCAAAGCUUGAGGGUACAAAUGACGCUCGAACAGGCAUGCCCUUUGGAAUACCAAAGGGCGCAAUGUGCGUUCAACGAUUCGAUGAUUCACUGAAUUCUGCAAUUCACACUACUUAUCGCAUUUCGCUGCGUUCUUCAUCGAUGCCAGAACCAAGAGAUCCGUUGUUGAAAGUUGUAAUUAUUAAUUUGUUACUGACGCUGAUUGCAAUUACAAAAGGUUUAUGUUUGUCCUAGUGGUGGGCGAACCCACCAAGGAAACAAGAAGUACUCAAAAGACAAGGGUGA